GUAGACAUGGGAAAGAAAGGGGAAAAGAAGAAUGCACUGAAAAUAUGCAACCUAAGCUACCUGAAUGCAACACACAAUGACGAACACACAAAACAGAACAUCACACUCACAACACAAGACAAGACACAACACACACUAACACAACAAAAGACCUAAAACCGAACCGUUGGUCCCCGACAACGACGCCAAAAUUUUGAUGGGUGUCGCAACCCAUACAAAUUUGAUUGCAUAUAAGAAAUGCAGUAUAGACUAGGAAGU
rnacentral:lncRNA from 1 species